GGCCCAGGACACUUGAAACUUAGCGCUAGCUUCGGUGGAGGCGCUGGUGGGAUACCUGCCCUGAACUGUAUUGAAAUUCUAACCUACGGGUCUUAUCGACCCGGGAGACAGUGUCACGUGGGCAGUUUGACUGGGGCGGUCGCCUCCUAAAGUGUAACGGAGUGCGCCCAAAGGUUCCCUCAGAAUGGUUGGAAAUCAUUCGUAGAGUGCAAAGGCAUAAGGGAGCUUGACUGCGAGACCUACAAGUCGAGCAGGGACGAAAGUCGGGCUUAGUGAUCCGGUGGUUCCGCAUGGAAGGGCCAUCGCUCAACGGAUAAAAGCUACCCCGGGGAUAACAGGCUUAUCUCCCCCAAGAGUCCACAUCGACGGGGAGGUUUGGCACCUCGAUGUCGGCUCAUCGCAUCCUGGGGCUGUAGUCGGUCCCAAGGGUUGGGCUGUUCGCCCAUUAAAGCGGUACGCGAGCUGGGUUCAGAACGUCGUGAGACAGUUCGGUCCCUAUCCGUCGUGGGCGUAGGAAAUUUGAGAGGAGCUGUCCUUAGUACGAGAGGACCGGGAUGGACGCACCGCUGGUGUACCAGUUGUUCUGCCAAGGGCAUAGCUGGGUAGCUAUGUGCGGAAGGGAUAAGUGCUGAAAGCAUCUAAGCAUGAAGCCCCCCUCAAGAUGAGAUUUCCCAUAGCGUAAGCUAGUAAGAUCCCUGAAAGAUGAUCAGGUUGAUAGGUUCGAGGUGGAAGCAUGGUGACAUGUGGAGCUGACGAAUACUAAUAGAUCGAGGACUUAACCAC
rnacentral:ncRNA from 1 species